GGCAGGCUUCAGUGUGUUCCACCCACUGUUAUCCUCAAGCCUUUCCCGUCCAAGCCCUGAUGGAUCACCCAGCCAGCCCGCCACCCACAGAAUGGCCAACGACCGAUAUUUCGACUCACAGAACUGUCAUUGAAUCAUAUAAUAAAUGCGAGAACAGAAUCCCCUCGCUGAACUCGCAAAAUAAAAUGUCUGACAUGUUGCAAAAUCGCACUACUUAAGAUUAAACCUAUCUUUAUUUCUUAUUUUUCUUCUAAUUCUUUAUAUUAAACAAUGCUACUCACAAAUAAAAAAUUUUCCAAUUUAUCGUUAGAUUAUGUUGCUUGAAAAUGUUUUAUUCAUCGUUAAGCCCUGUUAACAAAUAAAGUUACAUUUGGCCCAGCACUGAGUUUUAUUCGAUUUAAUUAGCUCACUUUUUAAAUAAAAAUAGUACAGAUAAUAUUUAUUGUAUGAGGUUUACGCAGUGAAAAGACGCAGGUUUGCAGUUAGCACUUUAUACAGGGUGUCUCGCAUAAGUUGUCCAAUCGCUCUGCUGCAUGUAGAUCUCGUUAAGGUGAACCAAAAAGUCUUAUAUCAUUUUGCAAUUAACCCCAUACAUUUCGAGUAAUUAAGUAAAGAAAGUUCACUAAUUUAGCGGACGCGAUUGGCUGCGAGGAAAGUAGGCGUGAAUAACGUAACAAACAGCUAGCCACGUGCGCGACGCGAUGGCAGCGAGUAUCGGAUUACAGCGGCAGGCGAGACGACGCAUGGACAAGAAUUGCUCAGUGUCUCAUUCACGCGCACGUGUUGAAAGUCUCUUUUUUAUUUGAUUUUUAAUGUGCCACUAGCCACUAGACGUUUCUCGGCUUUUUUUGGCACCCUGUACAAUUACCACACUACGAAAUCUACCUGAAAUAAAAGUAGUGCAUUAUUUCUAUCAUACGAUCUUACCGAUGUCCUUCAGAAAAGACCAUAAUGCCAUCAACGAAUCUAUAUCUAUGUCUUUUAACCAUUUUUCUAUAUCAUAUGGAUAACGAGUAUUAUAAGUUUCCAACAAUCUAUAAAAUUUGGCCCUUGCAUCGUCAAAUUGCACGCAACCAAAUGCCACGUGCGUUAUUGUCUGUUCCCUUGCUCCGUAUUCGCACAUAAAACUAUUUAUAAUGCCUUUUCUUGCCAAUGAUUCAUUUACGUUAUAGUGCCCAGAGCGUAAUCUAUUCACUAACGUUACAAAACCUCAAGGAUAAUUUGUAUUAAAAAACCAGGGUUUUUUCUUUUCCCUUGUAAAGUAUCUCGUAAAGUACAUUUUUCCUUUGUAUCUUCCCUCACUUUCAAUUCUAUCGACUGUUCUUUCUAACAUUUCUUUCGUAUAUUCUGCUAUUCAAUCCUGAUAAGGAACUUUUAUUCUACAAUCCGAAUCUUCCUCUGUCACCUCUUUUGCUAAUUUAUCUGCCAUUUCAUUUCCUUGUAUACCUUUAUGUCCUGGUAUCAAACCUAUAACUAACUUACGGUUCUGAAUCGCUUCUCUUUCUUGUUGUUUAUGUUGAGGAUUACGGUGGAUUCUCGAAAAGAAAUAUGUUGUUUAAAGAAUACUUUCGCUUUAUUCGCAAUUACAACGUGUCUCGGUCACAUACGAGCUUGACUCGACGAAAGACUAAUAGACAGUGAGUGAGGAGCAGUGCGCGAACCAAAAUAUAUAAAAACAGGAAAUGAGAAUAUUUGUCGCGCUACUGCCACUCGUCAUAUUAUGAUAGGCUGAGGAUAUACAUGACAGGCAACUUAAUAAACUCAAAUUAAUCAAAAACAAAAGCACGCAACAUCCUCAACAGUUUAUAAUGAUCAAAAAUUCUAUGUCUGAUUCUCGUAAUAAAUACAUUUUCAUAUACAUUUAUCCUGUUAUUUUUUAAACCCUCACACACACUUUUUGAGUCUGUUAAAAUUAAAAUGUCUUUAUCUCGCUCUGAUUCUAUUAUUAAUCUUAAAGCCUAUUUUAUGGCUACUGCCUCUGUCAUAAAGAUUUACUGUUGAUGCUCAUCGAAAAACCUAUAUUUCCGACUCUUCUCUGGCUACCCCGAUUCCUACACUUUUUUUGUCCGUUUGCUUUGAUCCAUCCGUAUAAAUAACUACAAAGUUAUCGUUCAUCUCGUAUUUAUCCUGAAAAAGUUGCAAAAGCUUCCCGUCGGUCCAUUUUUUUUGCUCUCUCCUCUCCUAUUUCCAUUUCUACCAAAACUUUACAAGUUAAGGUCCAAUAGUUUCGUAUACCUCGAAUUUUUCCUUCCAUUCUAUGUCGUUCUUAUUUCUUUUAAUACAUCUCCACACUUCUACUAUUAUAGUUCGUGUUCUAUGCGGAUUUAAAAAUCGAAACCUACUAUGCAAUAUUUCUAGUCUAUUCAUCAGUCCGAUUAGUUCUUUGUUUUUGAACAUCGCUAUUUUCGUCCAAAAAUUCCUUGCUAAUAGACUAGCACGUUCUUCUAUCUUCAUUAGUCUAGCCUCUCCUACCAUAACAUUACACGGAGUGGAGUUCCUAUAUCCUAGCGCGAUUCUUAUUCCCUUAUAUUGGAUUCGUUCUAUUUUUAGUUUCUCUCCUUCAUUCUUAGGAAAGAAUAUAAACAGUCCAUAAUCUAGAAGAGACCUUACGUACGCUUUGUACAUCAACAAAGAUGUAUUGGUUUCCAUACCCCAACUCAUCCUACUGAUAUAUCUUAAUAGACUGCAACCUCGCAUAGCUUUUCCUCUAACUUAUUUUACUUGAUCCUUAAAUGAUAAUUUGUUAUCAAACGUAAUUCCUAAAAACUUUGCCUUUUUCACAUAAUUUAUUCUUUUGUCUUUUACAAUUAUAUAAAGCUAUUCGUUUUGAUAUUACCUUUUUUAUUAAAUUCUAUAAUUUGCGUUUUGGACGGCUUUAUAUUUAGACCUAACUCGACUAAAUUUUUAUUUAGGAUUUUAAUUCCCUCCUCUAUUUCAUUUUCUAUUUCCGCGAUAAAUCUUCCUGUAAUAAAUAUUGCUAGGUCCUCAGCGUAUUUUAAACAUUUUAUCCUAUAACUCAAUUUUUUGCAAUAUUUUUAGUGUAAAUCGCGAAGAGACCUGAAUUUAGCACCCUACCUUGCGUUAACCCUUUAUUGAUCAGUCUUCUUUCUGUCCUUUCUUCGUCUACAAUAAAAAUUGUGUCUCUAUUUUUCAUCCAUUCUUGAAUAUAUUUAAUUAUUUUAACUGGACAUCCCUCUUCUAUCAAGAUUUCCACAAGAAUGUUCCCUCUUACAUUAUCGUAUGCCGAAGAUAUAUCUAAAAACGCUGCUAUGGUGCUUUUUUCCGCACAGUACAGCCUCUUUCAUUAUAUUAACUAUUUUGUUAUAUUUUCCUUCUAUUCCUACAUUUAAACAAUUCUUCUUCUUCUAGAAGACUCUCGCGUCUCAAAAUUUCUGAUUCGUAUGUUCCCAAUCAGUUCUUUGUUGAGAUUCUAUUCGUUUUUUUUCCGAUAAGUUUCCAUACUUAUCGAGAAAUCAAAUACUACCGGGAAGUGAUCUGACUCCCACGAGUCCUUUUCUUGCGCAUAAUUGACUCUAUUAAAUAAUUUCCUAGAGCAGAACAUUAAAUCUAAAUUGGAUGGUUGUGUUCCUCAGUAGGUAUACUAGGAGAGUUCUAACUCAGGAGCUCCGAGGGGAGCGCGGGGCGAGGGGAAUCUCCAGGAUGAGGGGUAUGACGUCACGCGGGACGAAAGGCAUGGUGGUGGGGAUACCGGGCCUGGGGCGAAGAGCAUGGUGGGGGGGGUAGUUCUAUGAUUUAUGCAUAGACUUAUAGAGAUAGAUCGGCCCUCACCGUAGAAAGCAGCGCGGCAACAUCACGGUGCAGACAAUAGCCUGUGGAGUAGACCCCUCCUUCUCUUUUAACGCUGGUGCGAGAAGGAGGGGUCUAUUCCACAGGCUAUUGUCUGCAUCGUGAUGUUGCCGCGCUGCUUUCUACGGUGAGAGCCGGUCUAUCUCUAUAAGUCUAUGGAUUAAUGAUGCUGCAGCAUUUUUGCUAUCAUACUUUUUCCUAUUAUAUUACUUUUAUUCUAGGAAUGAGCCGAUUAUUUAAUAAAUAAAAAAUAUGUUUACGUUGUUAAAGACUUUUUAGCGCCGAUACCCGGCUGCUGGAAUGAAUGGAUUAUAUUAUAUCUUAACAAUAUCUUAUUGUACAUGUUCUUAUAUGACUCCAUCCUUUCAGAAAAUUGUUUAGUCUGAUGUAUGUUAUUAUGACGUCAUACAGGGUCCAGUAGGCGCCUGUCCGGCGACUGACUCACGAGAAAACUAUUUGUAAAUCAUAAACUUUCUUUCGGAAAAUUUUUUAUUCAGAUGUACGUUAAUAUGACAUCAUACAGGAACCGACGCCUCGUAGGCGCGUCGUAGACGCAUUCAGGCACGUACUCGAUUGCAUGAAAAAUAUUUUUUAAAUCAUAAACUUUCUUUCGGAAAAAAUCAAAGGCAUAUAGACUCACUCGCUGCAACCGACGCUGAGUGUCAGAAGACGAGCUAACAUAAAGGAUACCGCCCUAGUCCACAAAGGCCGCGGCCUUCGAUUGCACUGCAGCCUAAGUGCAACAAAUACCUACAAAUUCUUUCUGACUUUAUUACUUACGUUCCUUCGUGUUCCCAAAAAUUAACAACAAAUCCCCUCCUCACCAAGUCCCAUCUCUCAAAAUUUGAAACCAAUCGCUUUUUGCACAAAGUCUCCACCCAGUCAGCAUCGUUGGGAACAUGAGUUCUUUAAGUUGUCAUUCUAAGAGACAUCUUUGAAAUGAGCUCUUUAUGUUGUCUAUUUGUAGAGAUGUCUAAUAAGAGAACUCGCAAUGUUAUCCUUAGAAAGAAAUAUAAAAGAUAUCAUGGAAACGAGGUCAUAAUGUGUUCUCAGUAUAGUCGAUAACCUCGGUAUAUUAUAGCUAGAUUUGAUAACCUGCAAAACUGUUAUUGUGAAUGUCAGAAUGUCUUUCCGCAAAGAUUUUAAAAGCCUGUCAGCAAGUCAAAAAACCAGAAGACUCCGUAAAGUUUGUGAGUUGCAUGAUCAUGCAUGUUGGAAAUAGUAAUUUUGGCGCCUUCUUACGGUCUUGUCUAUUCUCUGAUUGUGUGGAAACAUGCCUUAAUUAAAUCGGUAUAUAUGCUUGCGUAGCGCGGCGAAGGCUCUCUCUCCCUUUAGGUAGGCCGGUCGCGGGUGAGCUCACCGAUACAGAAAGCGUGUAAAAGAUAAGUAAACCUUUUUUGUUAGAUAUUAUAAGUUCAUGUAUGCGUAACAAGGAGAGAGCAUAUUAGUUUGUAUUCAGUAUUAUAUUUGUUUAUUUAGAAUUGUUUAUUUGAAAAAGCGAGAACAUUUGAUUUGUCAAGAGCACGUGGCACACAGAGCGUAUUGUGCUAUUUUCUAUAUUUGCGUUUCAAUAUAUUUCUUUUUUGUUGCUAUUGCGUGUAAUCUUUGCGUAAAAUUAUAUUGAAUUUCAACAAUGCAACUCAAAGUGAAAAUAUUGAAGUUGUUCAAAGUAAAGUUGCUCAAAGUGAAAAUAUUGAAAAUAACCAUGUGCAAGCACAUCCAGAAACACAAAUCAGACUCGGCAAGAAAAAUAUAAUGUGUGUUCCAAUGUUAUUCUGAUAUGGAAUCAUCAGAGUCGGAUAGUGAUAAUCGAGAAAAUUGUGAUCAGCUGGUGCACUACUGCAAUUAUUAAAAAAUGUUAAUGGAGAAGACGUGAAAAAUCUUCCACUUGAUCCUAAGACAUUGCUGAAGACUCCAAAAAAUAUUAUUGUGCGUGAUGUUCCUCCUGGAGAAUAUGUUCAUUAUGGACUCAAAAAUGCCAUUUUAGAUCUGUUAAAAACUGUUGAGCCAAAUUUUUAAGAAAAAAUAAAUAAUUAUACGUUAUAUCCUACACUUAUUUUAUAGAAAAUAUUCCACAGAAAUAAUUAAUAACAGCUAGGGCAGCGAUCACUUAACUGUUCCGCUAAAGAAGAAACGCGAAAAGUGUCAUUGAUAAAUUCCAUAUAUAUUAAUGAAACUUAUCACGUUUCCUCUCUAAGAGAACAGUUAAGUGAUCGCUGCCCUGUUAUUAAUAACAUUAUUUCGGUCACUGUCCACCUCCUAAUAUAAAGGCUUUUGUGACAUCUAUUACAUGUCACUUUGAAGAGCUCUUUGCGACAUCAUUUCUAUGAUGUCUUCAUUUCCUCUAAAAUCGACGCAUUGGGCAACGUUAUGAUAUCAUUAUGAUAUCUUUUUGAUGAUAUUGUAAGACAUCAUACUCUCAAAUAUAACCUCUUUAAGAGCUCAUUAUGUUAUCGUUUUGCUGGCUGGGCACCCUCACCCCUGGCGAAUCACUUUGUGCGAUGUCCUCCCA